rnacentral:rRNA from 1 species
UCAUAACCGUCCUUUUCAAGGACAACUCUUGACAUUUGACCUCAAAUCAGG